ACCUUCGGUGGUGUAGUUGGUAGCGCCUUGAGUUAGUAAUUAUAAGUCCUAGGUUCAAGUCCCAGUCGGGGUA